rnacentral:rRNA from 1 species
UACAGAGGGUGCGAGCGUUGUUCGGAAUUAUUGGGCGUAAAGGGCGCGUAGGCGGUGCGGUAAGUCACCUGUGAAAUCUCCUGGCUUAACUGGGAGCCUGCAGGCGAAACUACCGUGCUGGAGGGUGGUAGAGGCGAGUGGAAUUCCCGGUGUAGCGGUGAAAUGCGCAGAUAUCGGGAGGAACACCAGUAGCGAAGGCGGCUCGCUGGGCCACACCUGACGCUGAGACGCGAAAGCUAGGGGAGCGAACAGG